GAUUCUGGCUCAGGAUGAACGCUGGCGGCGUGCCUAACACAUGCAAGUCGAACGGAGUCGUUUUGGAAAAUCCUUCGGGAUUGGAAUUCUCGACUUAGUGGCGGACGGGUGAGUAACGCGUGAGCAAUCUGCCUUUAAGAGGGGGAUAACAGUCGGAAACGGCUGCUAAUACCGCAUAAAGCAUCAAAUUCGCAUGUUUUUGAUGCCAAAGGAGCAAUCCGCUUUUAGAUGAGCUCGCGU
rnacentral:rRNA from 1 species